GAGGUGGUGAACCGCACUACGACGACGGA
rnacentral:sRNA from 1 species